rnacentral:rRNA from 1 species
GACGAACGCUGGCGGCGUGCUUAACACAUGCAAGUCGAACGGAAAGGCCCUGCUUUUGUGGUGUGCUCGAGUGGCGAACGGGUGCGUAACACGUGAGUAACCUGCUCUUGACUUUGGUAUAACUUCAGGAAACUAGGGUUAAUACCGGAUAGGAUCUCCUGCUGCAUGGUGGGGGUUGGAAAGUUUCGGCGGUUGGGGAUGGACUCGCGGCUGAUCAGCUUGUUAGUGGGGUAGUGGCUUACCAAGGCAGUGACGGGUAGCCGGCACGAGAGGGUGACCGGCGACAUGGGGACUGCGAGAGGGAGCAGAGUGCUAUAGUAGGCAGCGGUGGCGAAUAUUGCCCAAUGAGAGGAAGCGUGAUGAAGCAACGUUGCGUGCGGGAUGACGGCCUUUGGGUUGUGAACCGCUUCAGCCUGUGACGAAGCGGGAGUGACGGUAAUGAGUAAAUAAGCACCGGCUAACUACGUG